rnacentral:lncRNA from 1 species
ACCUGGCCACGCUCGUGUAUCUGUGCCUCAGCUUUCUUAGCUAUAAAACGGGGGAAAUAAUUGAGCUUGUCUCAGGGCAUGGUGGGGAUCAAAUGAGUCAAUGUGAAGCACGCUCGAGCAUUUCUAGGGCACUGGAAAGUCCACAAAUGUCAGUACAGCUAACAUGAUGGCAGACAAGGCUAAAAUCCAGCUCUCCACUCUCAGCGCGGUGUUUUAGGUUAAGCCUCAAAGCACAACUGGGGUAUCUUAAUGCUGGAGGCAUGUUUGCUGGGCAGAACCAAGAUUUCCUAAUACCUUGCAUGUUGUGGUGGUCGGCCACUUACAGAGAACACUGUGCUCUGUGCUUGCAUGGCAAUAUGUGGUCCCAGAAUCUCUAUUGCCUCUUCCAUCUUCGUUUUAAUGCCCUUUUGUUCCCCUUGGAGAGGAAUAUUUGACUGAAUCAGGAGUAAUAGUUUCCAGGGUUACCACUUACUGAGCACUCACAUGUGCCAGACACUGCUAUAUACUGGUGUGUGUGAGCUCAUGAACUCUUUCCAGCACUUUGAGCUUUAUCUUACUACCCCCACUUUACAGAAGUGGCAGCCGGCUCAGAGAGGUUAAGCAGCUUGCCAAAGGUCACACAGCUGGCAAGUGGGUAGAGCUGGGAUUGGGCCUCUCUGACUCUUAGAACACCUUCCAGCACAUGUCUUGUCUUCAGCCUCGAAGCUGAGCAAGGUGUUCGAAUCCGAUCGUUACCUCUAUAACUUCCCUGAACCUUGGACCUCUCUUCUUCAUGGGGUGUGGAUUUCUCCUGGCACGUGCACAGCAUUGCCCUGAGGAACAAGAGGAGGAAGAUCUCCUACUGGGGCCAGCAGUAGACCAGGAGUUAGGAUAGCUCUCCAGGGCUGAAUGCCCCGUCAGUUCUCUUGUCCUGGCUCUGUGUGACCUUGGGCCAGUCACUUCCCCUCUCUGGGACUCAGGAGCAAAAGACAGAAGCAAGACAUACAUGCCUUCUGCAAGCUCUGGACUAUGCUUCUCCCUACAGCACAUUGGAAGCAUGGAGGUCUCCGCCAGCAUCCCUGGACAUGCCAUCCAGGCCUCGAGGAUUUUACAAAAGCUCUCGGGUGGGAGGCGAGCGCUGUUCUAUGGUGCCAG